AUUGAACGCUGGCGGCAGGCCUAACACAUGCAAGUCGAGCGGAUGAAGGGAGCUUGCUCCUGGAUUCAGCGGCGGACGGGUGAGUAAUGCCUAGGAAUCUGCCUGGUAGUGGGGGAUAACGUCCGGAAACGGGCGCUAAUACCGCAUACGUCCUGAGGGAGAAAGUGGGGGAUCUUCGGACCUCACGCUAUCAGAUGAGCCUAGGUCGGAUUAGCUAGUUGGUGGGGUAAAGGCCUUCCAAGGCGACGAUCCGUAACUGGUCUGAGAGGAUGAUCAGUCACACUGGAACUGAGACACGGUCCAGACUCCUACGGGAGGCAGCAGUGGGGAAUAUUAGACAAUGGGCGAAAGCCUGAUCCAGCCAUGCCGCGUGUGUGAAGAAGGUCUUCGGAUUGUAAAGCACUUUAAGUUGGGAGGAAGGGCAGUAAGUUAAUACCUUGCUGUUUUGACGUUACCAACAGAAUAAGCACCGGCUAACUUCGUG
rnacentral:rRNA from 1 species